rnacentral:rRNA from 1 species
AUUGAACGCUGGCGGCAGGCCUAACACAUGCAAGUCGAGCGAGCGGCGGACGGGUUAGUAAUGUAUGGGGACUGCCCGAUGGAGGGGGAUCACUACUGGACACGGUGGCUAAUACCGCAUACUAUCGGAUAACCCAUAUGGGAUUAGCUAGUGGGUGGGGUAAAGGCGCACCUAGGCGACGAUCUCUAGCUGGUCUGAGAGGAUGAUCAGCCACACUGGAACUGAGACACGGGCCAGACUCCUACGGAGGCAGCAGUGGGGAAUAUUGCACAAUGGGCGAAAGCCUGAUACAGCCAUGCCGCGUGUAUGAAGAAGGCCUUAGGGUUGUAAAGUACUUUCAGCGGGGAGGCGUUACCAGCAGAAGAAGCACCGGCUAACUCCGUGCCAGCAGCCGCGGUAAUAC